UUCUCGAAGAGGAAAAAAAGUCAUAAUUUUGUUCUUCAAUUUCGAGGC
rnacentral:sRNA from 1 species